rnacentral:rRNA from 1 species
CAGUCGAACGGACUCAUAUUGAAACCUAGUGAUUUAUGAGUUAGUGGCGGACCGGUGAGUAACGCGUGGAUAACCUGCCGUAUACCGGGGGAUAACACUUAGAAAUAGGUGCUAAUACCGCAUAAGCGCACGGCUCCGCAUGGGGCAGUGUGAAAAACUCCGGUGGUAUACGAUGGAUCCGCGUCUGAUUAGCUAGUUGGCGGGGUAACGGCCCACCAAGGCAGCGAUCAGUAGCCGGCCUGAGAGGGUGGACGGCCACAUUGGGACUGAGACACGGCCCAAACUCCUACGGGAGGCAGCAGUGGGGAAUAUUGCACAAUGGGGGAAACCCUGAUGCAGCGACGCCGCGUGAGUGAAGAAGUAUCUCGGUACGUAAAGCUCUAUCAGCAGGGAAGAAAAUGACGGUACCUGACCAAGAAGCCCCGGCUAACUACGUGCCAGCAGCCGCGGUAAUACGUAGGGGGCAAGCGUUAUCCGGAUUUACUGGGUGUAAAGGGAGCGUAGACGGCAGCACAAGUCUGGAGUGAAAUCCCGGGGCUUAACCCCGGAACUGCUUUGGAAACUGUGCGGCUGGAGUGCAGGAGGGGUAAGCGGAAUUCCUAGUGUAGCGGUGAAAUGCGUAGAUAUUAGGAGGAACACCGGUGGCGAAGGCGGCUUACUGGACUGUAACUGACGUUGAGGCUCGAAAGCGUGGGGAGCAAACA